rnacentral:lncRNA from 1 species
AUCUUCCUCCUAGAGACAUUCAGCAGCUCGUUCGCAUCAACAGGGAGGAGCAGUCCAGAGAGUAGCUCACUCCCAGCAUGGGAUCCCUCAGUGUUGAGGCCUCAAGCUUCAGCCCAAUUGGUGUAGUUUCAGAUCGCCGGCAACCUUGACUGAUGCCUCAUGUAAAGAGGAUUCGACAGUGAGCAAAGCUGAACGAAUCGGUGAGCUGAGAGG